rnacentral:rRNA from 1 species
GAGUUUGAUCCUGGCUCAGGACGAACGCUGGCGGCGUGCUUAACACAUGCAAGUCGAGCGGUAAGGCUCCUUCGGGAGUACACGAGCGGCGAACGGGUGAGUAACACGUGAGCAAUCUGCCCUUCACAUCGGAAUAACUUCGGGAAACCGAAGCUAAUACCGAAUACGACCACCGAUGGCAUCAUCUGGUGGUGGAAAGUUCUGGCAGUGAAGGAUGAGCUCGCGGCCUAUCAGCUUGUUGGUGAGGUAAUGGCUCACCAAGGCGACGACGGGUAGCCGGCCUGA